rnacentral:rRNA from 1 species
CCUACGGGAGGCAGCAGUGAGGAAUAUUGGACAAUGGGCGCAAGCCUGAUCCAGCCAUGCCGCGUGCAGGAAGAAGCAUCUAUGGUGUGUAAACUGCUUUUAUACAGGAAGAAACACUCCCUCGUGAGGGAGCUUGACGGUACUGUAAGAAUAAGGACCGGCUAACUCCGUGCCAGCAGCCGCGGUAAUACGGAGGGUCCAAGCGUUAUCCGGAAUCAUUGGGUUUAAAGGGUCCGUAGGCGGUUUAAUAAGUCAGUGGUGAAAUCUGGUCGCUCAACGAUCAAACGGCCAUUGAUACUGUUAGACUUGAAUUAUUGUGAAGUAACUAGAAUAUGUAGUGUAGCGGUGAAAUGCUUAGAUAUUACAUGGAAUACCAAUUGCGAAGGCAGGUUACUAACAAUAUAUUGACGCUGAUGGACGAAAGCGUGGGGAGCGAACAGGAUUAGAUACCCUGGUAGUCCACGCCGUAAACGAUGGAUACUAGCUGUUCGGAGCAAUCUGAGUGGCUAAGCGAAAGUGAUAAGUAUCCACCUGGGGAGUACGUUCGCAAGAUGAAACUNAAAUGAAUUGACCGGNUGAGAGAGCGAGACGACGACGAGGGAGGAGG